rnacentral:rRNA from 1 species
AUUGAACGCUGGCGGCAGGCCUAACACAUGCAAGUCGAGCGGAUGAAGGGAGCUUGCUCCUGGAUUCAGCGGCGGACGGGUGAGUAAUGCCUAGGAAUCUGCCUGGUAGUGGGGGAUAACGUCCGGAAACGGGCGCUAAUACCGCAUACGUCCUGAGGUAGAAAGUGGGGGAUCUUCGGACCUCACGCUAUCAGAUGAGCCUAGGUCGGAUUAGCUAGUUGGUGGGGUAAAGGCCUACCAAGGCGACGAUCCGUAACUGGUCUGAGAGGAUGAUCAGUCACACUGGAACUGAGACACGGUCCAGACUCCUACGGGAGGCAGCAGUGGGGAAUAUUGGAGAAUGGGCGAAAGCCUGAUCCAGCGAUGCCGCGUGUGUGAAGAAGGUCUUCGGAUUGUAAAGCACUUUAAGUUGGGAGGAAGGGAAGUAAGUUAAUACCUUGCUGUCUUGACGUUACCAACAGAAUAAGCACCGGCUAACUUCGUG